rnacentral:rRNA from 1 species
AGUGAACGCUGGCGGUAGGCCUAACACAUGCAAGUCGAACGGCAGCACAGUAAGAGCUUGCUCUUACGGGUGGCGAGUGGCGGACGGGUGAGGAAUACAUCGGAAUCUACUUUUUCGUGGGGGAUAACGUAGGGAAACUUACGCUAAUACCGCAUACGACCUACGGGUGAAAGCAGGGGAUCUUCGGACCUUGCGCGAUUGAAUGAGCCGAUGUCGGAUUAGCUAGUUGGCGGGGUAAAGGCCCACCAAGGCGACGAUCCGUAGCUGGUCUGAGAGGAUGAUCAGCCACACUGGAACUGAGACACGGUACAGACUCCUACGGGAGGCAGCAGUGGGGAAUAUUGGACAAUGGGCGAAAGCCUGAUCCAGCCAUACCGCGUGGGUGAAGAAGGACUUCGGGUUGUAAAGCCCUUUUGUUGGGAAAGAAAAGCAGCAGGUUAAUACCCCGCUGUUCUGACGGUACCCAAAGAAUAAGCACCGGCUAACUUCGUG